UACGAAGGGGGCGUAGCGUUGUUCGGAAUUACUGGGCGUAAAAGGCGCGUAGGCGGCCAACUAAGUCAGACGUGAAAUCCCUCGGCUCAACCGGGGAGCUGCGUCUGAUACUGGAUGGCUUGAAUUCGGGAGAGGGAUGCGGAAUUCCAGGUGUAGCGGUGAAAUGCGUAGAUAUCUGGAGGAACACCGGUGGCGAAGGCGGCAUCCUGGACCGAUUCUGACGCUGAGGAGCGAAAGCCAGGGGAGCAAACGGG
rnacentral:rRNA from 1 species